GGAGAGAUGCGUGAGCGGUCGAAACGAGCGGUCUUGAAAACCGCCAGGCCGAAAGGUCUCGUGGGUUCGAAUCCCACUCUCUCCG
rnacentral:tRNA from 1 species